rnacentral:rRNA from 1 species
UGGAUUAGUGGCGAACGGGUGAGUAACACGUGGGCAAUCUGCCCUUCACUCUGGGACAAGCCCUGGAAACGGGGUCUAAUACCGGAUAACACUCUGUCCCGCAUGGGACGGGGUUAAAAGCUCCGGCGGUGAAGGAUGAGCCCGCGGCCUAUCAGCUUGUUGGUGGGGUAAUGGCCUACCAAGGCGACGACGGGUAGCCGGCCUGAGAGGGCGACCGGCCACACUGGGACUGAGACACGGCCCAGACUCCUACGGGAGGCAGCAGUGGGGAAUAUUGCACAAUGGGCGAAAGCCUGAUGCAGCGACGCCGCGUGAGGGAUGACGGCCUUCGGGUUGUAAACCUCUUUCAGCAGGGAAGAAGCGAAAGUGACGGUACCUGCAGAAGAAGCGCCGGCUAACUACGUGCCAGCAGCCGCGGUAAUACGUAGGGCGCAAGCGUUGUCCGGAAUUAUUGGGCGUAAAGAGCUCGUAGGCGGCUUGUCACGUCGGAUGUGAAAGCCCGGGGCUUAACCCCGGGUCUGCAUUCGAUACGGGCUAGCUAGAGUGUGGUAGGGGAGAUCGGAAUUCCUGGUGUAGCGGUGAAAUGCGCAGAUAUCAGGAGGAACACCGGUGGCGAAGGCGGAUCUCUGGGCCAUUACUGACGCUGAGGAGCG